AGCAGCCGCCGCGGGAAUGCGAAGGGGGCUAGCGUUGUUCGGAAUUACUGGGCGUAAAGGGCGCGUAGGCGGCCAUUCAAGUUAGAUGUGAAAGCCCUGGGCUCAACCUAGGAAUUGCAUUUGAUACUGUUUGGCUUGAGUUCGGGAGAGGUGAGUGGAAUUCCCAGUGUAGAGGUGAAAUUCGUAGAUAUUGGGAAGAACACCGGUGGCGAAGGCGGCGACCUGGUCCUUCACUGACGCUGAGGCGCGAAAGCGUGGGGAGCAAACAGGAUUAGAUACCCCCGUAGUCCCUGUCUCUUAUAC
rnacentral:rRNA from 1 species